CCUUCUUUGGCACCAUUGCCCUGGUCGGAUGUUGUCAAGACUGGGACCCUGCAUUUUGUACCCUUCUGGCUCAGUCUCACAGAUAUCUAUGUAAUGACCCAACCUUUGCAAACACCACGUGCAAACGCUUUUGUGGGAAUUGCCCUCUACUAGAGCCUCUAGAUUGUUAUUCGUGCCUUACCCCGGUUAGGAGUCCGGAUAAUUGCAGUACGACUUUGACAUGCGCAUUGGGAGAGGUCUGCAUGACUAAACAACAUAAGGCGAGCGAUGGACACAAUGAGUACAUCAUGCAGUGUGGUCACAGAUCG